GACCAAUCCAUCGUCUGUACCAGAGAUGAUAAGUCUAAGAAGAUGGCAUUUAUAAAGAGGGAACAUUAUGUGGACCUCUUACUUGAACUUCAUAGCUCAGUUGGACUCCGAACACUUGAUGUCUGACCCUACAGACAGAUUGGUAGAUACGGUCUCCAGGAUUGUUCAAUCUAUGGAUUUCCCGCAGGUAUGGAAGAUGAAGAAGGUAAGAUGCCAUACACGCCAAGACUGUUUGGUUACGUUAAAGCACACAAGAUGCCUGUCUCUAUCAGGCCCCUAUGGUUGAUAAGAAGUCCUCCCCAUUAUACAGAUUAGAAAAGGCCAUUGCCACAUGGGCCCU
rnacentral:lncRNA from 1 species